rnacentral:rRNA from 1 species
UAAUACCGGAUAAGCCCACAGCCUUUUCGGAGGCAGCGGGAAAAGAUGGCCUCUUCUUGAAAGCUAUUGUUAUCAGAUGAGUCCGCGGUCCAUUAGCUAGUUGGUAGGGUAAUGGCCUACCAAGGCGACGAUGGAUAGCUGGUUUGAGAGAAUGAUCAGCCACACUGGAACUGAGACACGGUCCAGACUCCUACGGGAGGCAGCAGUGGGGAAUUUUGCGCAAUGGGGGAAACCCUGACGCAGCAACGCCGCGUGAGUGAUGAAGGUUUUCGGAUCGUAAAGCUCUGUCAAGAGGGAAGAAACCUCAGAAAGCUAAUACCUUUCUGACUUGACGGUACCUCUAGAGGAAGCACCGGCUAACUCCGUGCCAGCAGCCGCGGUAAUACGGAGGGUGCAAGCGUUGUUCGGAAUUAUUGGGCGUAAAGCGCGUGUAGGCGGUUUACUAAGUCUGAUGUGAAAGCCCCGGGCUCAACCUGGGAAGUGCAUUGGAUACUGGUAAACUUGAGUACGGGAGAGGGAAGUGGAAUUUCGAGUGUAGGGGUGAAAUCCGUAGAUAUUCGAAGGAACACCAGUAGCGAAGGCGGCUUCCUGGACCGAUACUGACGCUGAGACGCGAAAGCGUGGGGAGCAAACAGGAUUAGAUACCCUGGUAGUCCACGCCGUAAACGAUGGGUACUAGGUGUCGCGGGUAUUGACCCCUGCGGUGCCGAAGCUAACGCAUUAAGUACCCCCGCCUGGG